GACGAACGCUGGCGGCGCGCUUAACACAUGCAAGUCGAACGGAAAGGCCUGCUUUCCCUUGUGGAUUGCGGGUACUCGAGUGGCGAACGGGUGAGUAACACGUGAGUGAUCUGCCCCCAACUUGGGUAUAAGCCUGGGAAACUGGGUCUAAUUCCCGAUAGGACUGCAGGGUGGUGCCUGUGGUGGAAAACGAUUUUCUAGUGGUUGGGGAUGAGCUCGCGGCCUAUCAGCUUGUUGGUGGGGUAAUGGCCUACCAAGGCGGCGACGGGUAGCCGGCCUGAGAGGGUGGACGGCGACAUUGGGACUGAGAUACGGCCCAGAAUCCUACGGGAGGCAGCAGUGGGGAAUAUUGCACAAUGGGCGGAAGCCUGAUGCAGCGACGCCGCGUGGAGGAUGACGGCCUUCGGGUUGUAAACUCCUUUCGACCGCGAGGAAGCCACCUGGUUGGAAGGGUGGUGACGGUAGUGGUAGAAGAAGCACCGGCUAACUACGUG
rnacentral:rRNA from 1 species